rnacentral:rRNA from 1 species
GGUUAAGCGACUAAGCGUACACGGUGGAUGCCCUGGCAGUCAGAGGCGAUGAAGGGCGUGCUAAUCUGCGAUAAGCGCCGGUAAGGUGAUAUGAACCGUUAUAACCGGCGAUACCCGAAUGGGGAAACCCAGUGUGUUUCGACACACUAUCAUUAACUGAAUCCAUAGGUUAAUGAGGCGAACCGGGGGAACUGAAACAUCUAAGUACCCCGAGGAAAAGAAAUCAACCGAGAUUCCCCCAGUAGCGGCGAGCGAACGGGGAGGAGCCCAGAGCCUGAAUCAGCAUGUGUGUUAGUGGAAGCGUCUGGAAAGGCGCGCGAUACAGGGUGACAGCCCCGUACACAAAAGCGCAUGUGCUGUGAGCUCGAUGAGUAGGGCGGGACACGUGGUAUCCUGUCUGAAUAUGGGGGGACCAUCCUCCAAGGCUAAAUACUCCUGACUGACCGAUAGUGAACCAGUACCGUGAGGGAAAGGCGAAAAGAACCCCGGCGAGGGGAGUGAAAAAGAACCUGAAACCGUGUACGUACAAGCAGUGGGAGCACCCUUUGGGGUGUGACUGCGUACCUUUUGUAUAAUGGGUCAGCGACUUAUAUUCUGUAGCAAGGUUAACCGAAUAGGGGAGCCGGAGGGAAACCGAGUCUUAAUUGGGCGUUAAGUUGCAGGGUAUAGACCCGAAACCCGGUGAUCUAGCCAUGGGCAGGUUGAAGGUUGGGUAACACUAACUGGAGGACCGAACCGACUAAUGUUGAAAAAUUAGCGGAUGACCUGUGGCUGGGGGUGAAAGGCCAAUCAAACCGGGAGAUAGCUGGUUCUCCCCGAAAGCUAUUUAGGUAGCGCCUCGUGAAUUCAUCUCCGGGGGUAGAGCACUGUUUCGGCUAGGGGGCCAUCCCGGCUUACCAACCCGAUGCAAACUGCGAAUACCGGAGAAUGUUAUCACGGGAGACACACGGCGGGUGCUAACGUCCGUCGUGAAGAGGGAAACAACCCAGACCGCCAGCUAAGGUCCCAAAGUCAUGGUUAAGUGGGAAACGAUGUGGGAAGGCCCAGACAGCCAGGAUGUUGGCUUAGAAGCAGCCAUCAUUUAAAGAAAGCGUAAUAGCUCACUGGUCGAGUCGGCCUGCGCGGAAGAUGUAACGGGGCUAAACCAUGCACCGAAGCUGCGGCAGCGACACUAUGUGUUGUUGGGUAGGGGAGCGUUCUGUAAGCCUGCGAAGGUGGCCUGUGAGGGUUGCUGGAGGUAUCAGAAGUGCGAAUGCUGACAUAAGUAACGAUAAAGCGGGUGAAAAGCCCGCUCGCCGGAAGACCAAGGGUUCCUGUCCAACGUUAAUCGGGGCAGGGUGAGUCGACCCCUAAGGCGAGGCCGAAAGGCGUAGUCGAUGGGAAACGGGUUAAUAUUCCCGUACUUGGUGUUACUGCGAAGGGGGGACGGAGAAGGCUAUGUUGGCCGGGCGACGGUUGUCCCGGUUUAAGCGUGUAGGUGUGUGUUCCAGGUAAAUCCGGUUCACUUUAACACUGAGGCGUGAUGACGAGGCACUACGGUGCUGAAGCAACAAAUGCCCUGCUUCCAGGAAAAGCCUCUAAGCAUCAGGUAACAUCAAAUCGUACCCCAAACCGACACAGGUGGUCAGGUAGAGAAUACCAAGGCGCUUGAGAGAACUCGGGUGAAGGAACUAGGCAAAAUGGUGCCGUAACUUCGGGAGAAGGCACGCUGACACGUAGGUGAAGUGAUUUACUCAUGGAGCUGAAGUCAGUCGAAGAUACCAGCUGGCUGCAACUGUUUAUUAAAAACACAGCACUGUGCAAACACGAAAGUGGACGUAUACGGUGUGACGCCUGCCCGGUGCCGGAAGGUUAAUUGAUGGGGUCAGCGCAAGCGAAGCUCCUGAUCGAAGCCCCGGUAAACGGCGGCCGUAACUAUAACGGUCCUAAGGUAGCGAAAUUCCUUGUCGGGUAAGUUCCGACCUGCACGAAUGGCGUAAUGAUGGCCAGGCUGUCUCCACCCGAGACUCAGUGAAAUUGAACUCGCUGUGAAGAUGCAGUGUACCCGCGGCAAGACGGAAAGACCCCGUGAACCUUUACUAUAGCUUGACACUGAACAUUGAGCCUUGAUGUGUAGGAUAGGUGGGAGGCUUUGAAGUGUGGACGCCAGUCUGCAUGGAGCCGGCCUUGAAAUACCACCCUUUAAUGUUUGAUGUUCUAACGUGGACCCGUGAUCCGGGUUGCGGACAGUGUCUGGUGGGUAGUUUGACUGGGGCGGUCUCCUCCUAAAGAGUAACGGAGGAGCACGAAGGUUGGCUAAUCCUGGUCGGACAUCAGGAGGUUAGUGCAAUGGCAUAAGCCAGCUUGACUGCGAGCGUGACGGCGCGAGCAGGUGCGAAAGCAGGUCAUAGUGAUCCGGUGGUUCUGAAUGGAAGGGCCAUCGCUCAACGGAUAAAAGGUACUCCGGGGAUAACAGGCUGAUACCGCCCAAGAGUUCAUAUCGACGGCGGUGUUUGGCACCUCGAUGUCGGCUCAUCACAUCCUGGGGCUGAAGUAGGUCCCAAGGGUAUGGCUGUUCGCCAUUUAAAGUGGUACGCGAGCUGGGUUUAGAACGUCGUGAGACAGUUCGGUCCCUAUCUGCCGUGGGCGCUGGAGAACUGAGGGGGGCUGCUCCUAGUACGAGAGGACCGGAGUGGACGCAUCACUGGUGUUCGGGUUGUCAUGCCAAUGGCACUGCCCGGUAGCUAAAUGCGGAAGAGAUAAGUGCUGAAAGCAUCUAAGCACGAAACUUGCCCCGAGAUGAGUUCUCCCUGAGACUUAGAGUCUCCUGAAGGAACGUUGAAGACGACGACGUUGAUAGGCCGGGUGUGUAAGCGCAGCGAUGCGUUGAGCUAACCGGUACUAAUGAACCGUGAGGCUUAACCUU